rnacentral:rRNA from 1 species
UACGUAGGUGACCAGCGUUGUCCGGAUUUACUGGGCGUAAAGAGCGCGCAGGCGGUCGUUCAAGUCGAGUGUGAAAGCCCCCGGCUCAACUGGGGAGGGUCAUUCGAUACUGAUCGACUGGAAGGCAGGAGAGGGAAGCGGAAUUCCCGGUGUAGUGGUGAAAUGCGUAGAUAUCGGGAGGAACACCAGUGGCGAAGGCGGCUUCCUGGCCUGUUCUUGACGCUGAGGCGCGAAAGCUAGGGGAGCAAACGGGGAUU